GACAGAGCACCUCCCACAACGGAUCGUCCGGCACGUACCUGCCGGUGGAAGGAACACCCU
rfam:Angustibacter sp. Root456 contig_9, whole genome shotgun sequence.